UAAUUCUAGAGCUAAUACGUGC
rnacentral:ncRNA from 2 species